rnacentral:rRNA from 1 species
CCUACGGGCGGCUGCAGUGGGGAAUAUUGCACAAUGGGGGAAACCCUGAUGCAGCGACGCCGCGUGAACGAAGAAGGUAUUCGUAUCGUAAAGUUCUGUCCUAUGGGAAGAUAAUGACAGUACCAUAGAAGAAAGCUCCGGCUAAAUACGUGCCAGCAGCCGCGGUAAUACGUAUGGAGCGAGCGUUGUCCGGAAUUAUUGGGCGUAAAGGGUACGCAGGCGGUUUAAUAAGUCGAAUGUUAAAGAUCGGGGCUCAACCCCGUAAAGCAUUGGAAACUGAUAAACUUGAGUAGUGGAGAGGAAAGUGGAAUUCCUAGUGUAGUGGUGAAAUACGUAGAUAUUAGGAGGAAUACCAGUAGCGAAGGCGACUUUCUGGACACAAACUGACGCUGAGGUACGAAAGCGUGGGGAGCAAACAGGAUUAGAUACCCGGGUAGU